GAAAAUGAACUUCUUUCCAAAGCUGCUAACUUUAGGAAAUUGCAAUUGUGUAACAUUUUCU
rnacentral:tRNA from 1 species